rnacentral:rRNA from 1 species
AUUGAACGCUGGCGGCAUGCCUUACACAUGCAAGUCGAACGGCAGCAUGAUCUAGCUUGCUAGAUUGAUGGCGAGUGGCUAACGGGUGAGUAAUACAUCGGAACGUGCCCUGUAGUGGGGGAUAACUAGUCGAAAGAUUAGCUAAUACCGCAUACGACCUGAGGGUGAAAGUGGGGGACCGCAAGGCCUCAUGCUAUAGGAGCGGCCGAUGUCUGAUUAGCUAGUUGGUGAGGUAAAGGCUCACCAAGGCGACGAUCAGUAGCUGGUCUGAGAGGACGAUCAGCCACACUGGGACUGAGACACGGCCCAGACUCCUACGGGAGGCAGCAGUGGGGAAUUUUGGACAAUGGGCGAAAGCCUGAUCCAGCAAUGCCGCGUGUGUGAAGAAGGCCUUCGGGUUGUAAAGCACUUUUGUCCGGAAAGAAAUGGCUCUGGUUAAUACCUGGGGUCGAUGACGGUACCGGAAGAAUAAGGACCGGCUAACUACGUG